rnacentral:rRNA from 1 species
GAUGAACGCUGGUGGCAUGCUUAACACAUGCAAGUCGGACGGGCAGUGGUGUUUCCAGUGGCGGCCGGGUGAGUAACGCGUAAGAAGCUGCCCUUGGGAGGGGAACAACAGCUGGAAACGGCUGCUAAUACCCCGUAGGCUGAGGAGCAAAAGGAGGAAUCCGCCCGAGGAGGGGCGCGCGUCUGAUUAGCUAGUUGGUGAGGCAAUAGCUUACCAAGGCGAUGAGCAGUAGCUGGUCUGAGAGGAUGAUCACCCACACUGGGGCUGAGACACGGCCCAGACACCCACGGGAGGCGGCAGAGGGGAAAAUUCCGCGAUGGGGGAAAGCCUGACAGGGCGAUGCGGCGUGGGAGUGGAGGGGCUACGAGGAGUGAAAUUCUUUUCCCGGGGAAGAGGCAAUGACGGUACCUGGAGAAUAAGCCCCGGCUAACUCUGUG